rnacentral:tRNA from 1 species
GCUUAAGUAGUUUAAAUUAAAAUAUUAAUUUGUGAUGUUAAUGAUAUAUAACUAUAUCUUAAGCU